GACCAGAAUAUCCAGCGUAGGUAUUACGCGAUAGGAGGUUUGAGCCGAACGUAGUGAGACCACGUUGCUUUAGCAACGGCCCGCAGGGUAAGCAUCGAAGAUGCGCAUAAUCCUCUCAUGCCGACCA
rnacentral:sRNA from 1 species